UACGGGGGGGGCAAGCGUUGUUCGGAAUUACUGGGCGUAAAGGCUCGUAGGCGGCCAACUAAGUCGGAUGUGAAAUCCCCAGGCUUAACCUGGGAACUGCAUCCGAUACUGGUCGGCUUGAAUCCGGGAGAGGGAUGCAGAAUUCCAGGUGUAGCGGUGAAAUGCGUAGAUAUCUGGAGGAAUACCGGUGGCGAAGGCGGCAUCCUGGACCGGCAUUGACGCUGAACAGCGAAAGCUAGGGGAGCGAAACGGGAGUUAGAAAC
rnacentral:rRNA from 1 species